UACGUAGGGUGCAAGCGUUGUCCGGAAUUAUUGGGCGUAAAGAGCUCGUAGGCGGUCUGUCGCGUCGGCUGUGAAAACCUGAGGCUCAACCUCGGGCCUGCAGUCGAUACGGGCAGACUAGAGUUCGGUAGGGGAGACUGGAAUUCCUGGUGUAGCGGUGGAAUGCGCAGAUAUCAGGAGGAACACCGGUGGCGAAGGCGGGUCUCUGGGCCGAAACUGACGCUGAGGAGCGAAAGCGUGGGGAGCAAACAGG
rnacentral:rRNA from 1 species